UGGACGACCGACGUGCCCGGAUGCCCCGCAACCCCAGCCGCCUCAGUCCUUCCCGGGAGGCCUCUGAGCUCGCGCUCUCGCGAGACCCCUGAGCGGUGGUCUCCUCCUUUGGCCAGGAGGUUCCCACCUAGCAGAGCCCCGCACAGAACCACAGCAAAAGCGCUGAGGCGACUAGUUCGCCUCACAAUGCAGCCCGCUUUCUUCGGAGCGACGGACACUCUCGCAGUAAGAGCCCCAGGUACUUUGAUGCUGGAAUCUUUAACAAUCCCUCCUGGCAGAGAGAAUCACUGGACUGGAAGCAUCUAGACCUUUCCUUCCGGCUUUGAUUCUCUGUUUGUAUGAGAUAGCUACAGCAAAGGUGCAGCUGAGUGACUUCCUUUCCUUGAAGCACCCCAAGUGAGGCUCACAGCCUCGGAUUUACUUUGGAUAAAAGCACGAAAAGCCAACCAUUGACUCAGAGACAAGGUCAGCACUACACACAGCAGCCUUUAAAAUGUGG
rnacentral:lncRNA from 1 species